rnacentral:rRNA from 1 species
AGUGAACGCUGGCGGUAGGCCUAACACAUGCAAGUCGAACGGCAGCACAGUAAGAGCUUGCUCUUACGGGUGGCGAGUGGCGGACGGGUGAGGAAUACAUCGGAAUCUACUUUUUCGUGGGGGAUAACGUAGGGAAACUUACGCUAAUACCGCAUACGACCUACGGGUGAAAGCAGGGGAUCUUCGGACCUUGCGCGAUUGAAUGAGCCGAUGUCGGAUUAGCUAGUUGGCAGGGUAAAGGCCCACCAAGGCGACGAUCCGUAGCUGGUCUGAGAGGAUGAUCAGCCACACUGGAACUGAGACACGGUCCAGACUCCUACGGGAGGCAGCAGUGGGGAAUAUUGGACAGUGGGCGCAAGCCUGGUCCAGCCAUACCGCGUGGGUGAAGAAGGCCUUCGGGUUGUAAAGCCCUUUUGUUGGGAAAGAAAAGCAGCAGGUUAAUACCCCGCUGUUCUGACGGUACCCAAAGAAUAAGCACCGGCUAACUUCGU